rnacentral:rRNA from 1 species
CUGAAGAGUUUGAUCAUGGCUCAGAUUGAACGCUGGCGGCAGGCUUAACACAUGCAAGUCGAGCGGGGGAAGGUAGCUUGCUACCGGACCUAGCGGCGGACGGGUGAGUAAUGCUUAGGAAUCUGCCUAUUAGUGGGGGACAACAUCUCGAAAGGGAUGCUAAUACCGCAUACGUCCUACGGGAGAAAGCAGGGGAUCUUCGGACCUUGCGCUAAUAGAUGAGCCUAAGUCGGAUUAGCUAGUUGGUGGGGUAAAGGCCUACCAAGGCGACGAUCUGUAGCGGGUCUGAGAGGAUGAUCCGCCACACUGGGACUGAGACACGGCCCAGACUCCUACGGGAGGCAGCAGUGGGGAAUAUUGGACAAUGGGGGGAACCCUGAUCCAGCCAUGCCGCGUGUGUGAAGAAGGCCUUAUGGUUGUAAAGCACUUUAAGCGAGGAGGAGGCUACUCUAGUUAAUACCUAGGGAUAGUGGACGUUACUCGCAGAAUAAGCACCGGCUAACUCUGUGCCAGCAGCCGCGGUAAUACAGAGGGUGCGAGCGUUAAUCGGAUUUACUGGGCGUAAAGCGUGCGUAGGCGGCUUAUUAAGUCGGAUGUGAAAUCCC